AGUUCAUCUUUCAACUUUUUCUUCAUUCGCUGCAUUCUAUACCUCACUACAUCAUGUAUCUGCAAAAAGCGGGCACGAUAGAUGAAGAGACCUGUGCAUAGUCGAGACAACAAUAAGAGUGAGUGUGCAGCUUAAUCUUCUCUUCUCCAUCUCUUCCAGGAAGAUUAUCAGCAGUGGCAGCAACUGCAGCGCUAUACGCUUUUGCAC
rnacentral:lncRNA from 1 species